AAGAGAAGCUUGCUUCUUUUGGAAUCGAGUGGCAAACGGGUGAGUAACACGUAAACAACCUGCCUUCAGGAUGGGGACAACAGACGGAAACGACUGCUAAUACCGAAUACGCUUGGGAGACCGCAUGAUCUUCCAAGGAAAGGGUGGCCUCUACCUGUAAGCUAUCGCCUGAAGAGGGGUUUGCGUCUGAUUAGGCAGUUGGUGAGGUAACGGCCCACCAAACCUACGAUCGGUAGCCGGACUGAGAGGUUGAACGGCCACAUUGGGACUGAGACACGGCCCAGACUCC
rnacentral:rRNA from 1 species